GAGUUGUUAGCUCAGCUGGUUUAGAGCACUACCUUGACAGGGUAGGGGUCACUGGUUCGAAUCCAGUACAACUCA
rnacentral:tRNA from 1 species